GGCAAACUGCUUCGCACAGAACCUGCCAAAGUGAUGGACAUGGUGCAGAAGUUCCUUGGGGUGACCAACACCAUUGACUACCACAAAACCUUGGCGUUUGAUCCAAAGAAAGGAUUUUGGUGCCAACUGCUUGAAGGAGGAAAAACCAAGUGUCUGGGCAAAAGCAAGGGCCGGAAAUAUCCCGAGAUGGACUUGGAUUCCCGAGCCUUCCUGAAGGACUAUUACCGGGACCACAACAUCGAGCUCUCCAAGCUGCUGUAUAAGAUGGGCCAGACACUUCCCACUUGGCUACGAGAGGACCUCCAGAACACCAGGUAGCCGUGGCCACCACAGCCAGACUGAACGUUUGUGAAAGCUGGGACAUCCCACCACACGCUGAGCCAGACCUGCAGAGUGGGAAGCUGGACCAGGGCAGCUGCGCACUUAUGAGCAAUACUCUGUGGAGGUCUGGUGGGGCUGGGGGAGCACCCAGGCGGAUCUGCAAGCACCUCGGAGCACCCACCGCUGGGUCUGCGGCCUAAGGGACCUCCCUCGCCAGCAGAGGUCCAUUCCGUUCCCAGCUGCUCCUGGGGAGGCCGCUUCCUGGUAGGAGGGAGUCCACGAGACUCUUUUCUGUCCCUCACUGUGUUCCGCCGACUGUCCCCUCUCGUCACCCAUCACUCCCUGCUUCCGCAGGGCGCCCCUCAGUAUUCGCUGCCAUAUGUCCCUGUCCUCCAGGCUGUAGGGGAGGAGAGCCUGGCCGGGGGAGACAGACUGGACAUUUCCCUGUUUCGAGCCAGGCUCUUCCAAGGGGCCAGCUGGGUCCCCGGAGUCAGUCCUAGGCUGGAUGGGAGGGUGGCCCCCUCAAGAGGACUCCCAGCCUCCACAUCUGGUUCCUACCUUCACAUCUCACCCUCCCGUUCUGGGGAAGAAUUUCUGGUUCCUACAGUAUCCACUCCAUCCUCAAGGCUUCCCGCAGGGCCUUGGGGCACUGCCUUGCCAUCGGGCCCAGUUCUCCGGGCCCCACCUGCACCCCUUUCUUCCCCCUGGGAUAUGAUGUGUGGUGUUUCCUGUGGUAAAAGACUGAGGCAGGCCAGGGGUCUGCCAGUAACAUGUUCCCAUGUACAGACACGGUCCCCACACCCUCCCAGCCUCAGGCCCAGGCAGACAUGGGCGAGCUGGUGAGACUGCCAGCCACGGCUUUGCUUAGCCACCUGUGGCCGAGGGCUCUCAGAGACCCCCUUAACCUCCCAAAUACUAAGAAGCUAAAAUAUUUU
rnacentral:lncRNA from 1 species